GACUGAGACACGGCCCAGACUCCUACGGGAGGCAGCAGUAGGGAAUCUUCCGCAAUGGACGAAAGUCUGACGGAGCAACGCCGCGUGAACGAAGAAGGCCUUCGGGUCGUAAAGUUCUGUUGUUAGGGAAGAACAAGUACCAGAGUAACUGCUGGUACCUUGACGGUACCUAACCAGAAAGCCACGGCUAACUACGUGCCAGCAGCCGCGGUAAUACGUAGGUGGCAAGCGUUGUCCGGAAUUAUUGGGUGUAAAGCGCGCGCAGGUGGUUCCUUAAGUCUGAUGUGAAAGCCCACGGCUCAACCGUGGAGGGUCAUUGGAAACUGGGGAACUUGAGUGCAGAAGAGGAAAGUGGAAUUCCAAGUGUAGCGGUGAAAUGCGUAGAGAUUUGGAGGAACACCAGUGGCGAAGGCGACUUUCUGGUCUAUAACUGACACUGAGGCGCGAAAGCGUGGGGAGCAAACAGGAUUAGAUACCCUGGUAGUCCACGCCGUAAACGAUGAGUGCUAAGUGUUAGAGGGUUUCCGCCCUUUAGUGCUGCAGCUAACGCAUUAAGCACUCCGCCUGGGGAGUACGGCCGCAAGGCUGAAACUCAAAGG
rnacentral:rRNA from 1 species